rnacentral:rRNA from 1 species
AACAGAGAGAAACGAAACAGUGAUGUGGAGUAAAACUUAAAAAGCGGUCCCAGUUCGAAUUGAAGGCUGAAAUUCGCCUUCAUGAAGUCGGAAUUGCUAGUAAUGGCAGGUCAGCAUACUGCCGUGAAUACGUUCCCGGGCCUUGUACACACCGCCCGUCACACCAUGGGAGCCGGUAAUACCCGAAGUCAGUAGUCCAACCACGUGAGGACGCUGCCGAAGGUAGGAUUGGCGACUGGGGUGAAGUCGUAACAAGGUACC